GACGAACGCUGGCGGCGUGCCUAACACAUGCAAGUUGAGCGACGAACCAGGGCUUGCCCUGGGGCAAAGCAGCGAACGGGUGAGUAACACGUGGGUAACCUGCCCCGAUGAUCGGGACAACCCGAGGAAACUCGGGCUAAUACCGAAUGUGCUCGCCGGACACCAGUCCGGCGCGUAAAGGAAGCUUCGGCCUCCGCAUCGGGAGGGGCCCGCGGCCCAUUAGCUUGGUGGUGAGGUAACGGCUCACCAAGGCAACGAUGGGUAGCUGGUCUGAGAGGACGAUCAGCCACACUGGGACUGAGACACGGCCCAGACUCCUACGGGAGGCAGCAGUGGGGAAGCUUGCGCAAUGCGCGAAAGCGUGACGCAGCAACGCCGCGUGGGGGAAGAAGGCCUUCGGGCUGUAAACCCCUUUCAGGAGGGACGAAGGUUCGGCGGUGAAUAGCCGUCCGGACUGACGGUACCUCCACAAGAAGCCCCGGCUAACUACGUGCCAGCAGCCGCCGUAAAAC
rnacentral:rRNA from 1 species